AACCUCUUCCAAGAUCUUCUUGUUCGUGUGGAAAUCCAAUGUCAUUUUUGAGUAGUACCUCUCAAUCACCUGGCGUGAAGACUUCUUCACAGUCUUGGUUCUAACACGACCCAUCUUCUACCAAACUUUACCUGGAAGGAAGGACGAAAGGUUUCGGAAGAGUACCAGAGAGAGCAAAGUUGUGCUGCCGCUGCGACUUGAGAGGGGUGAUUGUGUUGAUG
rnacentral:misc_RNA from 1 species